rnacentral:tRNA from 1 species
CGACGUCUAUCGCCCGGCGGCGCAGCAGCAGCUCGACGUGCUGUCGAAGCAGGCGGAAGUCGGCUGCCUGCCGAUCGUGUUCGGCGAGAAGCCGG